rnacentral:rRNA from 1 species
UACGAAGGGGGCUAGCGUUGCUCGGAAUGACUGGGCGUAAAGCGUGCGUAGGCGGUUCGUUAAGUCUGUGUGAAAGCCCCGGGCUCAACCUGGGAAUGGCAAUGGAUACUGGCGAGCUAGAGUGUGUCAGAGGAUGGUGGAAUUCCCGGUGUAGCGGUGAAAUGCGUAGAGAUCGGGAGGAACAUCAGUGGCGAAGGCGGCCAUCUGGGACAACACUGACGCUGAGGCACGAAAGCGUGGGGAGCAAACAGG